rnacentral:rRNA from 1 species
GACGAACGCUGGCGGCGUGCUUAACACAUGCAAGUCGAACGGAAAGGCCCUGCUUUUGUGGGGUGCUCGAGUGGCGAACGGGUGAGUAACACGUGAGUAACCUGCCCUUGACUUUGGGAUAACUUCAGGAAACUGGGGCUAAUACCGGAUAGGAGCUCCUGCUGCAUGGUGGGGGUUGGAAAGCUUCGGCGGUUGGGGAUGGACUCGCGGCUUAUCAGCUUGUUGGUGGGGUAGUGGCUUACCAAGGCUUUGACGGGUAGCCGGCCUGAGAGGGUGACCGGCCACAUUGGGACUGAGAUACGGCCCAGACUCCUACGGGAGGCAACAGUGGGGAAUAUUGCACAAUGGGCGGAAGCCUGAUGCAGCAACGCCGCGUGCGGGAUGACGGCCUUCGGGUUGUAAACCGCUUUCGCCUGUGACAAAGCGUGAGUGACGGUAAUGGGUAAAGAAGCACCGGCUAACUACGUG